rnacentral:rRNA from 1 species
CGAACGGGUGAGUAACACGUGGGCAAUCUGCCCUGCACUCUGGGACAAGCCCUGGAAACGGGGUCUAAUACCGGAUACUCACUGCCUUGGGCAUCCUUGGCGGUGGAAAGCUCCGGCGGUGCAGGAUGAGCCCGCGGCCUAUCAGCUAGUUGGUGAGGUAAUGGCUCACCAAGGCGACGACGGGUAGCCGGCCUGAGAGGGCGACCGGCCACACUGGGACUGAGACACGGCCCAGACUCCUACGGGAGGCAGCAGUGGGGAAUAUUGCACAAUGGGCGAAAGCCUGAUGCAGCGACGCCGCGUGAGGGAUGACGGCCUUCGGGUUGUAAACCUCUUUCAGCAGGGAAGAAGCGAAAGUGACGGUACCUGCAGAAGAAGCGCCGGCUAACUACGUGCCAGCAGCCGCGGUAAUACGUAGGGCGCAAGCGUUGUCCGGAAUUAUUGGGCGUAAAGAGCUCGUAGGCGGCUUGUCACGUCGGUUGUGAAAGCCCGGGGCUUAACCCCGGGUCUGCAGUCGAUACGGGCAGGCUAGAGUUCGGUAGGGGAGAUCGGAAUUCCUGGUGUAGCGGUGAAAUGCGCAGAUAUCAGGAGGAACACCGGUGGCGAAGGCGGAUCUCUGGGCCGAUACUGACGCUGAGGAG